rnacentral:misc_RNA from 1 species
GAUGAAGAACGUAGCGAAAUGCGAUAAGUAAUGUGAAUUGCAGAAUUCAGUGAAUCAUCGAAUCUUUGAACGCACAUUGCGCCCGCCAGUAUUCUGGCGGGCAUGCCUGUUCGAGCGUCAUUACAACCCUCAGGCCCCCGGGCCUGGCGUUGGGGAUCGGCGGAAGCCCCCUGCGGGCACAACGCCGUCCCCCAAAUACAGUGGCGGUCCCGCCGCAGCUUCCAUUGCGUAGUAGCUAACACCUCGCAACUGGAGAGCGGCGCGGCCACGCCGUAAAACACCCAACUUCUGAAUGUUGACCUCGAAUCAGGUAGGAAUACCCGAUGAACUUAAGCAUAUCAAUAAGCGGAGGA